UGCUCCUGCCACCUCUGCUUCAGUUUC
rnacentral:piRNA from 1 species